rnacentral:rRNA from 1 species
UACGUAGGGGGCAAGCGUUGUCCGGAUUUAUUGGGCGUAAAGGGCGCGUAGGCGGCCUCCGCAAGUCGGUUGUGAAAUCUCCGAGCUUAACUCGGAAAGGUCAACUGAUACUGCGGGGCUAGAGUGCGGAAGGGGCAACUGGAAUUCUUGGUGUAGCGGUGAAAUGCGUAGAUAUCAAGAGGAACACCUGCGGCGAAGGCGGGUUGCUGGGCCGACACUGACGCUGAGGCGCGAAAGCUAGGGGAGCGAACGGG